rnacentral:rRNA from 1 species
UUGUAAUUUGUAGAGGAUGCUUUGGGGCAGCCGCCUGUCUAAGUUCCUUGGAACAGGACGUCAUAGAGGGUGAGAAUCCCGUAUGUGACAGGACAUGGCACCCUAUGUAAAGCUCCUUCGACGAGUCGAGUUGUUUGGGAAUGCAGCUCUAAAUGGGAGGUAAAUUUCUUCUAAAGCUAAAUACCGGCGAGAGACCGAUAGCGCACAAGUAGAGUGAUCGAAAGAUGAAAAGCACUUUGGAAAGAGAGUUAAAAAGCACGUGAAAUUGUUGAAAGGGAAGCGCUUGCAAUCAGACUUGUUUAAACUGUUCGGCCGGUCUUCUGACCGGUUUACUCAGUUUGGACAGGCCAGCAUCAGUUUCGGCGGCCGGAUAAAGGCCCUAGGAAUGUGACCCCCUCUUCGGAGGGGGUGUUAUAGCCUGGGGUGUAAUACGGCCAGCCGGGACUGAGGUCCGCGCUUCGGCUAGGAUGCUGG